CCUACGGGAGGCAGCAGCAGGGGGUCUUGCGCAAUGGGCGAAAGCCUGACGCAGCGACGCCGCGUGGGGGAAGAAGGCCUUCGGGUUGUAAAGCCCUUUUCUGUGGGACGAUAAUGACGGUACCACAGGAAUAAGCCACGGCUAACUACGUGCCAGCAGCCGCGGUAAUACGUAGGUGGCUAGCGUUAUCCGGAUUCACUGGGCGUAAAGAGCGCGUAGGCGGUGUGCUAAGUUGGACGUGAAAGCCCCCGGCUUAACCGGGGGAGGUCGUCCAAUACUGGUGCACUUGAGGGUGGACGGGGAAAGCGGAAUUCCCGGUGUAGUGGUAAAAUGCGUAGAUAUCGGGAGGAACACCAGUGGCGAAGGCGGCUUUCUAGACCACUCCUGACGCUGAGGCGCGAAAGCGUGGGGAGCGAACGGGAUUAGAUACCCUUGUAGU
rnacentral:rRNA from 1 species